rnacentral:rRNA from 1 species
CUACGUGCCAGCAGCCGCGGUAAUACGGAGGAUGCAAGCGUUAUCCGGAUUUAUUGGGUUUAAAGGGUGCGUAGGCCGUUGUGCAAGUCAGAGGUGAAAUUGUGGGGCUCAACUCCGCCGCUGCCUUUGAAACUGCAUGACUUGAAUCCUGUUGCCGUGGGAGGAAUGAGUAGUGUAGCGGUGAAAUGCAUAGAUAUUACUCAGAACCCCAAUUGCGAAGGCAUCUCACGAAGCAGGUAUUGACGCUGAGGCACGAAAGCGUGGGUAUCAAACAGGAUUAGAUACCCUGGUAGUCCACGCUGUAAACAAUGAUAACUAACCGCCGGCGAUAUAGUGUCGGUGGCCAAGCGAAAGCGAUAAGUUAUCCACCUGGGGAGUACGACCGCAAGGUUGAAACUCAAAGGAAUUGACGGGGGCCCGCACAAGCGGAGGAACAUGUGGUUUAAUUCGAUGAUACGCGAGGAACCUUACCCGGGCUCGAACGGCAGAGGAAGAGACUCAGAGAKAAGA